AUUGAACGCUGGCGGCAUGCUUUACACAUGCAAGUCGAGCGGCAGCGCGGGGGCAACCCUGGCGGCGAGCGGCGAACGGGUGAGUAAUGCAUCGGAACGUGUCCCGUGGUGGGGGAUAACCCGGCGAAAGCCGGGCUAAUACCGCAUAUGCUCUGAGGAGGAAAGUGGGGGACCCGCAAGGGCCUCACGCCAUGGGAGCGGCCGAUGUCCGAUUAGCUUGUUGGUGGGGAAUGGCUUACCAAGGCGACGAUCGGUAGCUGGUCUGAGAGGAUGAUCAGCCACACUGGGACUGAGACACGGCCCAGACUCCUACGGGAGGCAGCAGUGGGGAAUUUUGGACAAUGGGGGCAACCCUGAUCCAGCCAUGCCGCGUGCGGGAAGAAGG
rnacentral:rRNA from 1 species